UACGGGGGGGGCGAGCGUUGUUCGGAAUCACUGGGCGUAAAGGGCGCGUAGGCGGCCCGCACAAGUCUACGGUGAAAACCCCCGGCUUAACCGGGGGCCGGCCGUGGAAACUGUCGGGCUGGAGGCUGGGAGAGGGCAGCGGAAUUCCCGGUGUAGCGGUGAAAUGCGUAGAGAUCGGGAGGAACACCGGCGGCGAAGGCGGCUGCCUGGACCAGUCCUGACGCUGAGGCGCGAAAGCUAGGGGAGCAAACAGG
rnacentral:rRNA from 1 species